GCCUCUACUUUUUACUUAUCUAACUAUACUGACCUUUGGGAGUUUCUUUCUGACGUCAGGUGCUUCGAUGUGUCAUAGUAGCUUUAGAUAAUUAUUGACAUUAAUUAUGCCUUAGACUCUCGGUGUAGGUAGAUUGUAGAUCAUCCCAGGUAGGCAACAUUCAAGCGACCAAACUUCUCUAGUGCUCUUGGAUCUGAGGUUGGCCCAUUUAGUUUUUUAGGUU
rnacentral:lncRNA from 1 species